rnacentral:rRNA from 1 species
CUAACCUGCAAGCCGAGCGGUAUUUGUUCUUCGGAACAGAGAGAGCGGCGUACGGGUGCGGAACACGUGUGCAACCUGCCUUUAUCAGGGGGAUAGCCUUUCGAAAGGAAGAUUAAUACCCCAUAAUAUAAUGAACGGCAUCGUUUAUUAUUGAAAACUCCGGUGGAUAGAGAUGGGCACGCGCAAGAUUAGAUAGUUGGUAGGGUAACGGCCUACCAAGUCAAUGAUCUUUAGGGGGCCUGAGAGGGUGAUCCCCCACACUGGUACUGAGACACGGACCAGACUCCUACGGGAGGCAGCAGUGAGGAAUAUUGGACAAUGGGUGAGAGCCUGAUCCAGCCAUCCCGCGUGAAGGACGACGGCCCUAUGGGUUGUAAACUUCUUUUGUAUAGGGAUAAACCUACUCUCGUGAGAGUAGCUGAAGGUACUAUACGAAUAAGCACCGGCUAACUCCGUGCCAGCAGCCGCGGUAAUACGGAGGGUGCAAGCGUUAUCCGGAUUUAUUGGGUUUAAAGGGUCCGUAGGCGGAUCUGUAAGUCAGUGGUGAAAUCUCAUAGCUUAACUAUGAAACUGCCAUUGAUACUGCAGGUCUUGAGUAAAGUAGAAGUGGCUGGAAUAAGUAGUGUAGCGGUGAAAUGCAUAGAUAUUACUUAGAACACCAAUUGCGAAGGCAGGUCACUAUGUUUUAACUGACGCUGAUGGACGAAAGCGUGGGGAGCGAACAGGAUUAGAUACCCUGGUAGUCCACGCCGUAAACGAUGCUAACUCGUUUUUGGGUUUUCGGAUUCAGAGACUAAGCGAAAGUGAUAAGUUAGCCACCUGGGGGAGUACGUUCGCAAGAAUGAAACUCAAGGAAUUGACGGGGG